rnacentral:rRNA from 1 species
UACAGAGGUCCCAAGCGUUGUUCGGAUUCACUGGGCGUAAAGGGUGCGUAGGUGGUCGGGUAAGUCCGAUGUGAAAUCUCCGAGCUCAACUCGGAAACUGCACCGGAUACUAUUCGGCUGGAGGGUUGGAGGGGGGACUGGAAUGCUUGGUGUAGCAGUGAAAUGCGUAGAUAUCAAGCGGAACACCAGUGGCGAAGGCGGCGUUCUGGACUGCAACUGACACUGAGAAACGAAAGCCAGGGUAGCAAACGGG